GCGGCUGCUCCUGGAUGCUCCCGCCUCUCUCUCCCGGGCAGCGCUCUAGGGGGGGCUCAGGCCGGAUCCUGCCCAUUCUAUACGUUAAUGCUCUUUUCUCUCCGGCUGCAGGGAAGCAGGCCAGCGGAUAAUUACCCCUCACUGCAAUCCGCAGAGCUGGCCUAAUCCGAAAGCUCAAGUGCCCGAUGAAGGCUGAAGCAAGGCACCAACUCGAAGUUAGGACAAUUGAGCUGACGAUUGUUUGGUGGAGAAACAGGGAAGAGAUGCGGGCUCCAACACCACCUUUUUGGCAGAGCAGUGGGUGACAAGAAAGAGUUCUGAUUUUCUCUCACUUCUCCCAGCAGCCACAGAAAGGUGUGAUCAGAUGGUCUUCUACUACAACAGAAACAUUGCCGGAGAUCCAGCAAAAUUAUUAAACUUCUCCUGAGGCUAAACUUGUACGCAGAGAGGUUAAGGACCAGAAGCACGGCCAGUGUUUGGGGGAGCCGUAGUUGAUGGGCACGGCCGUGUCUCCUCGCAGGAGACCCCUGAGAAUGGGAAAUUAGCAGUCGAAAUCUGCUAGUGGGGACUGGAUCCCACAAAGCCCACGCGUUGGGAAGGCUGAGUGUCUCUCUCUCGCCUAUUCAAUCUGCCCAGGCUGGUUGCAGCGAAUAAAUAGAGUCAUUGUGGAGCCCAUACACAAACCGACCCAACUCCCUCCCCCAUCCCUUCUCGCCCUCCCCCCGUCCCUUUAUGCUUAAACGCACACAAAUCUGCAGCCACUUUGCACUAAGAGGAGCCCAAACUUUUCUUCCCUGUACUGUACAACGCCUGUGGGAAAGGUUUAUUCACACGUAUGGAAUAUGUACUUAUGCGGCAGAGACGGGGGUUCACGCUGAGUGAGGGCAAACAGGAGCUGCCAGGAGCAGAACCCAUCCCGGCCUCGCCCCGCCGGGCGGGCGGGCGUCCCUGUCCCCGCGGAAGAUAACGGUUCAAAGUAGCCAGAUGCAUUAAACAGCCACAAAAGGGGCCAAGAGGGAUGGGGGGCGGGGGGGCGGAGGGGUGAUUCACUUAAGUUUCUGGUGGAAAACUUAAAUGCUGCCUUCUCUGCCUCUCCCAACAUCGCUGCAAGGUGAAAUCCAUUUGGCCGCAUCCCUCCCAAGCGGCCGCAGCCCGGCGGGGCGGGCGGCAGCCCCGCGCCCGGGGAACUUGCUCCGUGCAAGAGAAUUUGCAAGCUUGAAAGCAUAUUUUUCUUCCAGCUAUGGUGGCACUUAGAUGAUAAUGUAGGCAAUGAAACUGGGAAGAUUUAUAUCUUUUGGAAAGUAGGACGAGCCAGAUGGUAAUAGCGUCAUUAACAAACAAACUUAGGAUCUGCAAGUGAAGCUUGAAAUUGGGAAAGAGAUCUAGAGAACAAAAGGAGCUGCUGUUGAGGUGGGGGGGAAAUAAAGAGUCCCUCUUCUGCCGGCCAAAUCUAAGAGCACAUUCUGGAGGGGCUGCUCCUGCCCAGCACUAGAUAAUAAACGACGGCUUUUUCCUCCCCUGUUGUGACUGAGAAAGGACAGAGAAAACUUUUGCAAUAGGCAAAUGUGGCAUUUAUUUAUGUGUAACCCUUUGUAGUCUCAAGUGUCCCAAAUGGGCCUUUAAUUCAAAUCCCUGGUUUGAUACGGAGGGAUCGCUUCUCCCAAGUUUAUUUUAGAGAAACAAAGCGCCGCUUGUGGAAGUUGGAGGGCCAAAAGUUCAGUAAUUAUUUUUUUGAAUUAAUAGUAACGAAUAAAUAUUAAAGGUUAAACGCUAUUUGCUGGGAGAGUGGAAACAUCUGAGGGAUUUAUUGUGUCCUCGAGUCUUUUUUUUUUUUUUUUUCUUUAACCUCCUCAAAAACCGUUCACUCUUUGCUAGAAGGCACCAAAACAGCAGGGGAGAGGGUCCCAGAGCAGGGCCGGGACUUUCGUGGGCGGGGAACAGGGAGGCCCCCCGGCCGGGCUUCUCCCCUGCAUCACCCUCCUGAUUUGCUCUCCAAACCCCCUCCGGGAGGUUCUCCAUGUCCAGAGGAAAGGCCUUCAGCACAGAUUUAGCCAGCUCAAAGUCCAUAAACACCGGAGACCCACCAGCUCCAGCUGGGGCUUCAGCAGGAGGGCAGGAGGGAUGGGCUGUGUGCCUCCUAAACUUUAACCACUAUGUUCCCAAAUGCUAUAGAAAUGUUUGGAGGUCUUUAGAAGGUCCCCGUAUCUCUCUUCCAAAGUUGAUGGUUAUUAGAUGAUUAAUGAUUUAAAGAU